rnacentral:rRNA from 1 species
CAAUAGCGUAUAUUAACGUUGUUGCAGUUAAAAAGCUCGUAGUUGGAUUUCUGGAGGGAGCGUCGACCCGUAUUUACGAGUGCGUGACGUCUCUGUCCAUCCUUGCGGGAAGGCACGGCAUUGAUUUGUUGUGUCGGAUCGCAUCAUUUACUGUGAAAAAAUUAGAGUGUUCAAAGCAGGCUUUCGCUUGAAUACAUUAGCAUGGAAUAAUAAGAUAGGACUUUGGUGCUAUUUUGUUUGUUGAGCCUAAAGUAAUGAUUAAUAGGGAUAGUUGGGGGCACCUGUAUUGCGUUGUCAGAGGUGAAAUUCUUGGAUUUACGCAAGACAAACAGCUGCGAAAGCGUCUGCCAAGGAUGUUUUCAUUAA